GAUGAACGCUGGCGGCGUGCCUAAUACAUGCAAGUCGAGCGAACGGACGAGAAGCUUGCUUCUCUGAUGUUAGCGGCGGACGGGUGAGUAACACGUGGAUAACCUACCUAUAAGACUGGGAUAACUUCGGGAAACCGGAGCUAAUACCGGAUAAUAUUUUGAACCGCAUGGUUCAAAAGUGAAAGACGGUCUUGCUGUCACUUAUAGAUGGAUCCGCGCUGCAUUAGCUAGUUGGUAAGGUAACGGCUUACCAAGGCAACGAUGCAUAGCCGACCUGAGAGGGUGAUCGCCCACACUGGAACUGAGACACGGUCCAGACUCCUACGGGAGGCAGCAGUAGGGAAUCUUCCGCAAUGGGCGAAAGCCUGACGGAGCAACGCCGCGUGAGUGAUGAAGGUCUUCGGAUCGUAAAACUCUGUUAUUAGGGAAGAACAUAUGUGUAAGUAACUGUGCACAUCUUGACGGUACCUAAUCUGAAAGCCACGGCUAACUACGUG
rnacentral:rRNA from 1 species